AGCCCGCUCGCCGGAAGACCAAGGGUUCCUGUCCAACGUUAAUCGGGGCAGGGUGAGUCGACCCCUAAGGCGAGGCCGAAAGGCGUAGUCGAUGGGAAACAGGUUAAUAUUCCUGUACUUGGUGUUACUGCGAAGGGGGGACGGAGAAGGCUAUGUUGGCCGGGCGACGGUUGUCCCGGUUUAAGCGUGUAGGCUGGUUUUCCAGGCAAAUCCGGAAAACCAAGGCUGAGGCGUGAUGACGAGGCACUACGGUGCUGAAGCGACAAAUGCCCUGCUUCCAGGAAAAGCCUCUAAGCAUCAGGUAACAUCAAAUCGUACCCCAAACCGACACAGGUGGUCAGGUAGAGAAUACCAAGGCGCUUGAGAGAACUCGGGUGAAGGAACUAGGCAAAAUGGUGCCGUAACUUCGGGAGAAGGCACGCUGAUAUGUAGGUGAAGCGACUAGCUCGUGGAGCUGAAAUCAGUCGAAGAUACCAGCUGGCUGCAACUGUUUAUUAAAAACACAGCACUGUGCAAACACGAAAGUGGACGUAUACGGUGUGACGCCUGCCCGGUGCCGGAAGGUUAAUUGAUGGGGUUAGCGGUAACGCGAAGCUCUUGAUCGAAGCCCCGGUAAACGGCGGCCGUAACUAUAACGGUCCUAAGGUAGCGAAAUUCCUUGUCGGGUAAGUUCCGACCUGCACGAAUGGCGUAAUGAUGGCCAGGCUGUCUCCACCCGAGACUCAGUGAAAUUGAACUCGCUGUGAAGAUGCAGUGUACCCGCGGCAAGACGGAAAGACCCCGUGAACCUUUACUAUAGCUUGACACUGAACAUUGAGCCUUGAUGUGUAGGAUAGGUGGGAGGCUUUGAAGUGUGGACGCCAGUCUGCAUGGAGCCGACCUUGAAAUACCACCCUUUAAUGUUUGAUGUUCUAACGUUGGCCCGUAAUCCGGGUUGCGGACAGUGUCUGGUGGGUAGUUUGACUGGGGCGGUCUCCUCCUAAAGAGUAACGGAGGAGCACGAAGGUUGGCUAAUCCUGGUCGGACAUCAGGAGGUUAGUGCAAUGGCAUAAGCCAGCUUGACUGCGAGCGUGACGGCGCGAGCAGGUGCGAAAGCAGGUCAUAGUGAUCCGGUGGUUCUGAAUGGAAGGGCCAUCGCUCAACGGAUAAAAGGUACUCCGGGGAUAACAGGCUGAUACCGCCCAAGAGUUCAUAUCGACGGCGGUGUUUGGCACCUCGAUGUCGGCUCAUCACAUCCUGGGGCUGAAGUAGGUCCCAAGGGUAUGGCUGUUCGCCAUUUAAAGUGGUACGCGAGCUGGGUUUAGAACGUCGUGAGACAGUUCGGUCCCUAUCUGCCGUGGGCGCUGGAGAACUGAGGGGGGCUGCUCCUAGUACGAGAGGACCGGAGUGGACGCAUCACUGGUGUUCGGGUUGUCAUGCCAAUGGCACUGCCCGGUAGCUAAAUGCGGAAGAGAUAAGUGCUGAAAGCAUCUAAGCACGAAACUUGCCCCGAGAUGAGUUCUCCCUGAGACUUAGAGUCUCCUGAAGGAACGUUGAAGACGACGACGUUGAUAGGCCGGGUGUGUAAGCGCAGCGAUGCGUUGAGCUAACCGGUACUAAUGAACCGUGAGGCUUAACC
rnacentral:rRNA from 1 species